GCAGUAUGAGUAGGGUGUGGAGCUUAGCCACUGUGGACAUUUUGUCAUCCCCUGGAUGGGGGCAGCUGCCCCAACUGACUAAUGCAUGGGGAGAUUCAUUGAAGUCGAGGCGCCGUGUGAUCUGGACAAACAUAAAAUCACCCUGUGGCCAGGCUGUGCAAGCAGUUGGUGCAUCAGGCACUUCGUCUGGAGAAAUCUGUCAUCGCGUGACAGCCCUGCUGGGGUUCGUUCUGCUGCUCCCGGUGCUGCCUUACUGCGGGAGGUGAAGGCAGUGGAAGGAGUUAAACCAACCAGCUGUCCAGGAGGAUUCAGACAUGCAAGAGCUGCAAACACAGGCAGAAAGGCGACUGGCUGGCACAUGACCCACUGAACAGAUCAAACAGUGCAGCUAGGAGCCAAGAACAAUUUCCAGUACCUGCCGCACUGUCCAUCCCCCUCCUUCCUUUUAUAGCUAAGUCAGGGCAAUAUCCUCCAGUGCUGCUGUAGCGACACGCACCUGGUUCUGAGCACACGUGCCUCACAAGGUGACACUUGUUUGUGCUUAGGCCACAUGCCACUUACGUCCAUGAUGGCCUUUGAAUCCACAGAUCACUUGUGAGUGUUAUAUGCAUCCACUGAAACCUAAGUGCCAGAGCUGCAGGGCUACGAAUCAGUGCUUCAUCUGGCACUGUAGAUUCUCCCCCUCCCCUCUCCUUUCCCUUCUUCUGAGGUUAGAGUAGGGGUGCUGGGACAUGCAGCUACUGAGAGGAGCUGAAUAACACAUUUGCUGCAGGAAGAACAGCAAAGUGGAUUCCUCCCACCCAUUUGACCCAGCAGUUUGGCCCAGGAAAGCAGAAUUAUUUUUUUCCUGCCAUGCUGAGAAGCACUGAGCAGAUUCUGUGCAAAGAUCCUUACAACCCCUUCAUUACCCGUUAUUCUGAACACCUGAGCAGCACGAGGAGCAUAUAUGAUUGUUGUCAGAACACAGGUGGGUGUUUCAGGUGUUUAUUUUUCCUUUCACUUUUGGUUUGUGUCUUUGAAGGAUGAAAGAAGGACAUGAAGUAGAAAGACACGUGGUGUCUUCUUGCAGAAGAUCCCUCUGUGAGUGGCUCUGGGUCUGUUCCAGCCAUCUGGAAAUGGGCUCAUCUUGCAGCUGAGAUUUCCUGAAUGCUCCAGAAGUCGAGCUGUCAGUCAAGUGCUAGCUGGCCUUCAGUCACCUAGGCCCUUGCAGUGGGACACCUUGAAGGUAAUGGCUCUGACCUUGAACUGAACUGGGUAUGAAGUGGGAAGCCAGGGAAGAAAGGUAGAGAGCUUGGUUCUGUGCUGUGGUAGCUUCACACUGCAAGGAGCCCUUUCUGCUUUGAAGUUUUUAUGCCCUGCCACAUUGCACAGCUAUGACCAUUGUGUAAUCAAAUCACAGUGAGAAAUAAGACAGAGCAGGCUCUCAGAGUCCUUUCUGUUGCGAGAGCUGGCUCUGCUGGCUGUGGUGUGUCUGCCACUCUGCAUCAGUGCGGUGUCACGGCACACUGUGCUUCCCCAGAGUGGUGGAAAUCUUUCCAGUUAUUUUGGCUAAAGCUCUGGACUAGCUGGAAUUCUGUAGGAACCCUCCGUAGAAGUUAGGAAUUGUUCCUUUUCCCUAGGCAGACACAAGAUGCAGUGAUAUUGAGAAGGAAAUGCUGCUGGGUCUGAAGAACUUUCUGAAGGGUGAUGGGCUGCAAGUGCUAAAUUCUGCUCUUAGCUGCCCACUCUGAUUGUCACCAUACAUGGAAGAUGGAAAAAACACACAUUGGACAUAUAUGCAGUUAUUCCCUGCUUGCCCCUUUGGGUCUUGUUCUGGCAGAGUGAUGGGUGAAACUGGAGAAGCAGCAUCAGGUUGCAGGAGUAAUUUUGACAGGUUGAAGGGCCAGAGCUAGUGCUGGGAGACACAAGGCAGCCCCAUCUGUCUUGGCAUUACUAAAUUCAAUGGGAUUUUGGCCAUAGUAUUCAAUAAGGCUAGAGUUUCACUGAGCAUACCUCAGAAAGCACUGCAUCAUACAGUUGUGUUGUCUGCCAUGACAUUUACUGCUGGUAAAACAAGUAUGUCCUCUGUGUCACCCAUCUCUGCCUUCAUAGGUCUUCACCUGCAUUAUUUUUUCUCAUCCAAUGUCUCAUCUAUUUCUAUCUAUGUACCUAUCUAUCUAAUCUAUUUUUUUUCUUUAAAUUCAAUCUGCUUGCUGCUUACUGCCCUCCCUUGCUGUCUCCUCAGCUUGCUCUCCAUGUACUCUGCAAGGAAUGUGCCUACAAGAGGUAUUUUUAUUUGGCAGCCUGAGUAAGCUUUCUGUUUUGGCCGCAGGUACUGAGAUAAGCAGCCAAUGGAGUUGAGAUCUCCUGUGUCACGUUUUAGCUCUUUCCAUCUGAUAGAGAAGAUGACCUCACUGGCUGUGUUGGGGAGGUAUGGUUGCAAGGGCAAAGAAAUUAGAGUUAACCUUGAAAGAAGAAGAAGCAUAGUGGCACACGUAUAUUUUUGGUCUGAUUUGCUGUAUAAUGUAGAGGUGUUGCUUGGGAUUCAGGCAAUUGUUUAAUACAGAAGGUGUCCAAAGGAAAAGAGGAAUCCAGAUAUGGGGGUUGUAAAAGAUAUUUGCCCUGUGACUUUAGCAAUAGAAGAGGAUGCCAAAGGGUCUUUGUCUGCUUCUGACAAAUAUCCUCCUUGGAGCAUGUUAUUCUCUGACCAAUCUAGAAUCAUGGAAUCAUUUGAGUUGGAAGGGACUCUUAAAGGCCAUCUGGUCCAACUUCCCUGCAAUGAAGAGGGAAACCUACAGCUCCACCAGGGUGCUCAGAGCCCCAUCCAGCCUGUCCUUGUGUGUCUCCAGGGAAACCUAGAGGUAAUAUGUUAUAUGGUCUUUGUCUCUUCAGUUAAAGAAAAGGAACCUGUUAUGUGUCAGGGGUACAGCGGAUCUGCUGUUUUGUGCUGUUAUGAUAUCAGGCCUCUUGGGAUACUGAGGAUAAUUUAGUUCCAGAUUAUCAUGCAGGGGCUGGCCCCUCAGUAUAAUAUGCCAUUAGCAAGACACCAGAAUAAAUUCUCCCAUUCGGAAAUGUACGAAAACUCUCUAGGUGCAAAUGUUUAUACUUCCUCCUGCACUGAGAUCUGAGAGUCUCAGAUGACACUGGCAAGUUGUCUGGGAGAACAUUUUCAAGACAGACUAUUAAAUGCUGCAAAACCAGUGAAGUACUGAGGGGAAGUUGUGGUCUGGGCUGUUAUGAAACCAGGAACCAGGCAGGCCUGGGGAGAAGAUUGGUCUGUGUUGCUUCAGUGCAUGAAAUAUGUGCAUGAAAAUCUACCUUAUUAUCGCACAGUAUCAGAUAGAGUCAAAACCUGUGUUGCGUUAAAGCACCUGGAAUUCUGGAGACUGUGCUGUCCCGUCAUGAUUCCCAGCUUUGAAACGUCUGAUGCUGAAGAGAAGUUGUCCUCUUGUUCUGAGCAGAGCCACAGUGAUCAAGUUAUUUUAGGGGCACGGGUGGAGGAGUGAUGUGUUUGUGUCUCAUGUCACGAAGGUCCCUCUCACUUUUUGUUGGGUCAUCCAUCAUGCCUUGCACAAAUGCAUUUGGAGACAUUAACUCAUCCUUGGUGUGACAUGAAAAACCAUGAUGCUUUUCCAGUAAGAGUUGUGCAUACAGAAAUGAGGUUAAUUCUGGUCUACAUGGGUGCUAGCUCAGUGCAUCCUUGCACGUAGUAGCCAUGGUGUGGAUGGGGGUGUGUGCUAAGGCAGCCAAACUGCUACGUUUUGACAGUUCUGCUGCAUGCAUUAAAAUAACAUCAUCCUGGUUUGUUGUCUCUCCUCUUCCACCCUCUCCCCUCACUCAGCAAAGUCUAAAGGGAACAAGCUCCAAGUAUUAAAAUAGCUCCUGUCUAGCUUGUUCAGCCUAUUUCAGGAGGUUGGUUCCAUCUUGACACAGAUAGAAUACAGAGACAUUGUGGAAACCACAGCCACAAGGGGCCAUCGGCCAAAACUAAAUGAUUUCCCAGCUUAUGCAGAGUAGUUUGUUCUCCCCCUACCCCCUCCCAUCCCCUUUCCUAGCUUAAAAUAACAGUGGGAAGCUGUUUGGCUUUGUUUUGUUGGAUUUUUCUGCUUGCUGCACUUGGUCUGUUGUGAGGGGAUGGAAAGCUAGGAAGGAGCUGUGAGGUGGCAGAGACUUGUUGCCUUCUGGAUUGAGGUGAGACCUCCAGAACCACCAGAAAAAAACAAAACCCCACAUGUAUUUCUGGCAUGUAUUUUCAAGGAGCAAACAAACAAUCAAUGGGUAAAUCGACACAUGGAUUUAGCAGCUUGGACUAUGGAAUUAGUCUCACAUCUUGUCUUAGAUUGACCCAAAGGGCAGUGGACGUCUAUGAAGAGCAUAGGGCAAAAGUCACACAGGGAUAGCUACUGCCAGAUUAAGUCAGCUACAGGGAAGGACCCAUUUUCUGGUUCCUGUGAUUCUUCUGUUGCUACGCUAAAACUUAUCCUAUGGAGCUGUACUACUUAACACCCGCUUCCACCUUGGACUAAUUCAAAACCACCAUGAAUAAGACAAAAGUGCUAACUUCCACCAAUAUUCCACUCAUCUGCUUGGAGUGUGCCUACAGGAAGUCAACAUAUUCUGCAUUUUCUUGCCCUCAGGUUCGUAGGUCUCAUUCCAGCUCCUGCUUCUGCCCAGGGUUAUCUGUUUCUUCCUAAAGGCCUAUUUCAUACCUGCAUCAAAACUAGUAGGUUGGUAAAACUUCCAUCUUCCAGUCUAAACUGCACCAGAGUCCGUGAAUAUUGCCAAAUGCAUCUAUGGACGUGAAGGUGACCUUAGCCCUCGAGAAGAAAAAAGAUGAACUCUCAAAUUCUCACUAAAAUACUAUCCUUGUUUUGCCAAGAGGUGUCAAACUGUGGGUGUGCAAAUUACAGUGGGAAGCUGCAAACAUGAAUGGAGCCUUGGGACCAGAUGGCUCGGCACCAGAAGGGUUUGCAAGAAACUAGGCCUCGGGGUGAGCCUUGCUGCUUUGCAAGCGAGCCCCCGGUGCUUGCUCUGAAUGGUAUUCAAUGCCAGAAUUUAAUAUGCAACAAACUUUAUCACUUGAGGACUUGUGCGUCUCAUCAUUGUAAAAAGAAAAUCAGCACUAGCAGCGUGCUGGGGGCACUUUCACCUUUGUUAGCAGAAAUAGUGCACAGAUGCAAUAUCCAAGCUCAAGCAGCAAAAAGACUCAUUUAAGGGUAGUCAACGCUGUGUAAAUAGGUGAAUUACGUCAUCUCCAGGUUAGAGAUUUUUUUUUUGUUGUUUUAAAUAGCAGCAAUCAACCCUACAACUGGAGGUAGGAAAACACUACCUUUUUGUUUUUUCCUUGGCCUGUAUUUUCUUCCUUCGUAGCAAGGAAGCAGAACAGAAAUCAGAAUUUCUGUUUAAUGAAAUAGAUGGUUCAGCGUUUGUUUCAUGACAAGACCGAGAUGUGCAUUUGAAAUACAAAGGUUUUUGAGAGCGAAAUGUUUUCUGAAACGUUUUCUAAAUCUUCCGUACCUGGAAAUUGCUUUUAUUGACAAGCCUGAGGGGAAUGGCCUGUGUGACUGUUCAAGGUUGCAGUGUUCUGAGUCAGUUUGUUCAUUUUGACUGAAUGCUUGAGUCAGUUCAGCAUUACAAAGAAUUUUUGUAUGGAGGCGCAUGACCUAGGCUGUGCGGUAGCCCCAUUUUCUCAUAUGAACCAGAAGUAUUAUGGGAAAGAAUUGCAGAAGCUUAGGAGACGAUGCAUCAUAGUAUGCAAAUGCACUUAAAAGAGUAUUUUGGGCCAAGUCAAAGACAUAAUGUAUCGUCGUUCACACUGAAUUAUCUGAUUUUAAAUACAUGGAUUUGAUUUUCCUACUGGAAAAAUGAAAAACAAAUCCCAUGGGAAACAAAAACUGCUGAUGUCUGCAGGAAGUCUCUUUCCCUCAGGAAUGAAUUACAGCAGAAAUUUCCUGACUAGGUCUAUUUUAACAUAUGUAGAGCCUGUCUGUCUGUCUUUCUACCUACCCGUCUAUCAUUUUUUCCAUCUUUCUAUCUUUUGUAUUUAAUGAAGGUUUAAUCAUUCUGCACUUAAGGACAGUUUGUCCUUAGACUUUGGCUCAAGCCUGGAGUCACCUCCAUGUGUCAAACUAUAAAGUAUUUAUCACGUACCUCUCUGUAGACUAACCCACAGAUGUGAACCAGCGCAUUAUUGUCAGUAGCUGAGUAAUUAUCUUAAUUUGAGCAAAAAGGUCAAUGGGACCAAAUGUUGCUGUAGCCGCGUGGUUGGGGUGUUACACACCCACACAUGUUAUUAUUUGCUCAGUGCUCGUUCUUUUUUUUUUUUUUAACUGCUGCUUUUUUUUCCCCUCUUUUUUCCCUUUCUCUUUUUUUCUCCUUUUUUUUUUUUUUUUCUUUUUCUUUUUUUUUAACAAACCAUAAAAAUAAAGACACCGUCUCUGGCUAGAAAUGUGAAUGGAAUAAAUGGUAAGUUCCUGAAAUGCUCCAUGUCAAAUUAGCUCAUGUAAAAAUGCCUUCCACUUACAUCGCUUCUAAACACUGCUGGGACAGCCUGCUCUCCUCGAGCCAGACAUCCCUAUUUCAGGAAACAGGGCACUGGAGGCGUAUUCCAGCCAGGACAGGGCAAAGUCAAUGAGGCCACCUGGAUGUGCUCUGCUGGAGGAGCUGCUCUGUGCUUCCUGGGCUCUCCAUGGAUUGUCUGAUCCAUGCAGAGAUGAGUGGAACAUGAGUAUCAGAUGCUCCCUUUUCCAGAGGGGGAACCGUCGCUGAAAUUGUUUCCAGUGUGUCACAGAGGAAGUUUGUGUCUCAUUGUCAUACAGGGCCUCUGCAAUGGGAAUUAAGCACCUAUCUUCCCAGUAGGGGUCUGCAGACUUCUCCAUAACGUGCUUCUCCAGCUCCUGCCUGGGCCGUGACACAUCCCUCCAGCUUUUCUGCCUUUGUUCCCUCAGCUCUUGAUGAGCUCCCGAUGUGGGAGACCUUCCAGUGUGGUGAGUGGCCAGGUAACUUUCACUUUCUGUCUCAGAAACACAGAAAUGGGCAGGAUGCUUCUCAGACCAUGUGAUGACUGAAAUACUCACAUAGCUCCUUCCAGGCUGUUGCUUCUGUGGUUUAAAUACACUCUCUUAGCUCUGUCCUCCAGAUUUAGAACCCCAACCCAGUACAGAGAGGAAUAAUAAUAAAACCAUAGGUGAUGUGUUCCAAUAUCUUGAAGAUUAAUUGUUUCUCCUAUCCUAAUAAACCCAGUUGAGCUUGGUGAGGUGUAUGAACUGCUCCCAGAAUGCUGGUUUCUUGAUUAAGUCUAUGACCAGAAGAGAAUUAUUGGAUUUACAAUAUUAAAUGUUCCUGGGAAGAAGUACUUGCAAAGUAAGCUGCAUUCUCCACCUCAAAAAGAAAAGGAAAGAAAAGAAGUCUGGAACUAUGAAUGGGAAUUGCAGAGCACGAUACUUGUGGGAAGGAUAGAAGAGGAAGCCAGAUGAGUUAAAAAUCAGAGUGGAAUUAUUCUGACCUCUUCAGUGAGGGAAAGCCAAGAAACCAACUUGCAAGAAUCAAAUCCUGGCAUGCUCCCACUGGACACUCUGCAAAGUGUGCAAUGUUUGUUAAUGACGGUCUUCUUUCUAUGCAACAAAAAUACUUCUGGAACAGUGAUUUAUUGCCUCACAGACCCAAGCUCUGUGUAGUGCUAGGAACCUGCGGACAUUUAUAGAGAUGUUCUGAGCAUUUCUGGAGAGCAUGCGAAUGUGCAGCAUCUCAUACAUAGCCCAGCUCUUUCAGAGA